rnacentral:lncRNA from 1 species
GAAUCUUUACUAAAAAAAUCAAAUGUAAUAACAAAAUAAUUUUUGACAAAAUUAAGUGUAUAAAACAUUUCUCACAUUUUAAUAGUUUUACUGGAGUGUUAUGUGACCUUGUGUACUCAAAGUUUAUGUCAAAUCUACAAUGAAGACUAAUCGUGUAAAUGUUCUGUUUAAUCUACAGAGUACCACAAAGUUUCAGAAGAAAAAGCAUAUUUUUGUUUUUAAGUUGGUGAGCAUAGAACAGACCUUUUUGUGUUUCCUGGAGCCGUGAAGAACCAGACAAACAAACUACUUUUGAAACAGCAGAAGUUGUUUAACAGGUACCAUGAGUGAACCAGCGGAGAAAACCGAAACUUCUCAGUCCUCAAAUGAUGGUCUGCUUGAAGAACAUGACAAGUGCAACCAACCUCAGAGAAUUGAAGUGGAAAGAGAAGAUUCUUCAUCAAACUUUCUGUCAGGGAGAAGUAACACAUCCAUGGAUUUUCCACUCAAUUUUAAAGAAAAGAAAGGAUCACAAAUAAUUGAAGUGGAAAGAGAAGAUUCUUCAUCAAACUUUCUGUCAGGGAGAAGUAACACAUCCAUGGAUUUUCCACUCAAUUUUAAAGAAGAGAAAGGAUCACAAAUGAUUAACCAGAAUAUUCCAGGAGGUCAAACAGGACAAGGAAAAAUGGUUCUUAAGGAAAACAAUUUAGUUUCAGAAGACACAGGUAAAG